UACAGAGGGUGCAAGCGUUAAUCGGAAUUACUGGGCGUAAAGGGUGCGUAGGUUGUUAAAUAAGUUAGAUGUGAAAGGCCUGAGCUUAACUUGGGAACUGCAUAUAAUACUGUUUAACUAGAGUACUGUAGAGGGUAGUGGAAUUCCUGGUGUAGCGGUGAAAUGCGUAGAUAUCAGGAGGAACAUCAGUGGCGAAGGCGUCUACCUGGACAGAAACUGACACUGAGGCACGAAAGCGUGGGGAGCAAACAGG
rnacentral:rRNA from 1 species